rnacentral:rRNA from 1 species
ACUCCUACGGGAGGCAGCAGUGGGGAAUAUUGGACAAUGGGCGCAAGCCUGAUCCAGCCAUGCCGCGUGUGUGAAGAAGGCCUUAUGGUUGUAAAGCACUUUAAGCGAGGAGGAGGCUACUUUAGUUAAUACCUAGAGAUAGUGGACGUUACUCGCAGAAUAAGCACCGGCUAACUCUGUGCCAGCAGCCGCGGUAAUACAGAGGGUGCAAGCGUUAAUCGGAUUUACUGGGCGUAAAGCGCGCGUAGGCGGCUAAUUAAGUCAAAUGUGAAAUCCCCGAGCUUAACUUGGGAAUUGCAUUCGAUACUGGUUAGCUAGAGUGUGGGAGAGGAUGGUAGAAUUCCAGGUGUAGCGGUGAAAUGCGUAGAGAUCUGGAGGAAUACCGAUGGCGAAGGCAGCCAUCUGGCCUAACACUGACGCUGAGGUGCGAAAGCAUGGGGAGCAAACAGGAUUAGAUACCCUGGUAGUCCAUGCCGUAAACGAUGUCUACUAGCCGUUGGGGCCUUUGAGGCUUUAGUGG